CAUAUCAAUAAGCGGAGGAAAAGAAACCAACAGGGAUUACCUCAGUAACGGCGAGUGAAGCGGUAACAGCUCAAAUUUGAAAUCUGGGUCUUUCAGGCUCCGAGUUGUAAUUUGUAGAAGAUGCUUCGGGUGUGGCUCCGGUCUAAGUUCCUUGGAACAGGACGUCAUAGAGGGUGAGAAUCCCGUAUGUGACUGGUUGCCUUCGCCCAUGUGAAGCUCUUUCGACGAGUCGAGUUGUUUGGGAAUGCAGCUCAAAAUGGGUGGUAAAUUUCAUCUAAAGCUAAAUAUUGGCCAGAGACCGAUAGCGCACAAGUAGAGUGAUCGAAAGAUGAAAAGCACUUUGGAAAGAGAGUUAAACAGUACGUGAAAUUGUUGAAAGGGAAGCGCUUGCAACCAGACUUGCACGCUGCCGAUCAUCCGGGGUUCUCCCCGGUGCACUCGGUUGCGUUCAGGCCAGCAUCGGUUUGGGUGGUUGGAUAAAGGCCUUGGGAAUGUAGCUUCUUUCGGGGAGUGUUAUAGCCCUCGGUGCAAUGCAGCCUACCCGGACCGAGGACCGCGCUUCGGCUAGGAUGCUGGCGUAAUGGUUGUAAGCGACCCGUCUUGAAACACGGACCAAGGAGUCUAACAUCUAUGCGAGUGUUUGGGUGUCAAACCCAUACGCGUAAUGAAAGUGAACGGAGGUGAGAACCCUUAAGGGUGCAUCAUCGACCGAUCCUGAUGUCUUCGGAUGGAUUUGAGUAAGAGCAUAGCUGUUGGGACCCGAAAGAUGGUGAUCUAUACUUGAAUAGGGUGAAGCCAGAGGAAACUCUGGUGGAGGCUCGCAGCGGUUCUGACGUGCAAAUCGAUCGUCAAAUUUGAGUAUAGGGGCGAAAGACUAAUCGAACCAUCUAGUAGCUGGUUCCUGC
rnacentral:rRNA from 1 species